UCCCGGCUAGCUCAGUCGGUAGAGCGUCAGACUCUUACUAUACAAGUGUCUCCGAGCUUGUCUCGUAGUUAAUCUGAAUGUCGUGGGUUCGAGCCCCACGUUGGGAG
rnacentral:tRNA from 1 species